GUAAUAGCUCACUGGUCGAGUCGGCCUGCGCGGAAGAUGUAACGGGGCUAAACCAUGCACCGAAGCUGCGGCAGCGACGCUUAUGCGUUGUUGGGUAGGGGAGCGUUCUGUAAGCCUGUGAAGGUGUGUCGUGAGGCAUGCUGGAGGUAUCAGAAGUGCGAAUGCUGACAUAAGUAACGAUAAAGCGGGUGAAAAGCCCGCUCGCCGGAAGACCA
rnacentral:rRNA from 1 species